rnacentral:rRNA from 1 species
UACGUAGGGUGCGAGCGUUGUCCGGAAUUACUGGGCGUAAAGAGCUCGUAGGUGGUUUGUCGCGUUGUUCGUGAAAACUCACAGCUUAACUGUGGGCGUGCGGGCGAUACGGGCAGACUGGAGUACUGCAGGGGAGACUGGAAUUCCUGGUGUAGCGGUGGAAUGCGCAGAUAUCAGGAGGAACACCGGUGGCGAAGGCGGGUCUCUGGGCAGUAACUGACGCUGAUGAGCGAAAGCGUGGGGAGCGAACAGG